UAUUUGGUUGCUUUUUUUUUUUUUUCUUUUAAGAAUACCGGAAGAUAACAAAUAUUUUACAACAGAGGUUAAAUAUUUCAUCACCUCGUAUCCAUCUGUGGGUCGAAUGCACAACCAUCCUCCUCUCAAUUCCAAAAUGUAUUCUAUGCAAGAUGUAGUAGUAUACAAGACAACUAUGCAGCAAAUGUUUCUGCUUUAAGUUUGAAGUGGCUGAAGCUCUUGCUCCGGAGUAGGAGAUGCAACAGGCUCAUAAGCAGUGACUGACUGUCGUCUGUGUCGAAUAACCAC
rnacentral:lncRNA from 1 species